rnacentral:rRNA from 1 species
AGGGAAUCUUCGGCAAUGGGCGAAAGCCUGACCGAGCGACGCCGCGUGGGGGAUGAAGGCCUUCGGGUCGUAAACCCCUGUCCUUGGGGACGAAGUGCUGACGGUACCCAAGGAGGAAGCCCCGGCUAACUACGUGCCAGCAGCCGCGGUAAAACGUAGGGGGCGAGCGUUGUCCGGAAUCACUGGGCGUAAAGGGUGCGUAGGCGGCCGCUUAAGUCCUGUGUGAAAGGCUCCGGCUUAACCGGAGACGGCCAUGGGAAACUGGGCGGCUUGAGUGCCGGAGAGGGUGGCGGAAUUCCCGGUGUAGCGGUGAAAUGCGUAGAGAUCGGGAGGAACACCAGUGGCGAAGGCGGCCACCUGGACGGUAACUGACGCUGAGGCACGACAGCUGGGGGAGCAAAC